GCGAGCGGCGGAUGGGUGAGUAACACGUGGGGAACCUGCCCCUAAGUCUGGGAUACCAUUUGGAAACAGGUGCUAAUACCGGAUAAUAAAGCAGAUCGCAUGAUCAGCUUUUGAAAGGCGGCGUAAGCUGUCGCUAAGGGAUGGCCCCGCGGUGCAUUAGCUAGUUGGUAAGGUAACGGCUUACCAAGGCGACGAUGCAUAGCCGAGUUGAGAGACUGAUCGGCCACAUUGGGACUGAGACACGGCCCAAACUCCUACGGGAGGCAGCAGUAGGGAAUCUUCCACAAUGGACGCAAGUCUGAUGGAGCAACGCCGCGUGAGUGAAGAAGGUUUUCGGAUCGUAAAGCUCUGUUGUUGGUGAAGAAGGAUAGAGGUAGUAACUGGCCUUUAUUUGACGGUAAUCAACCAGAAAGUCACGGCUAACUACGUGCCAGCAGCCGCGGUAAUACGUAGGUGGCAAGCGUUGUCCGGAUUUAUUGGGCGUAAAGCGAGCGCAGGCGGAAAAAUAAGUCUAAUGUGAAAGCCCUCGGCUUAACCGAGGAACUGCAUCGGAAACUGUUUUUCUUGAGUGCAGAAGAGGAGAGUGGAACUCCAUGUGUAGCGGUGGAAUGCGUAGAUAUAUGGAAGAACACCAGUGGCGAAGGCGGCUCUCUGGUCUGCAACUGACGCUGAGGCUCGAAAGCAUGGGUAGCGAACAGGA
rnacentral:rRNA from 1 species